rnacentral:rRNA from 1 species
GACAGAGGGUGCAAACGUUGCUCGGAAUUACUGGGCGUAAAGCGCGUGUAGGUGGAUUGGUGUGUCAGAUGUGAAAUCCCUGGGCUCAACCCAGGAACUGCACCUGAAACUACCAGUCUUGAGUGGUGGAGAGGGAAGUGGAAUUCCUGGUGUAGAGGUGAAAUUCGUAGAUGUCAGGAGGAACACCAGUGGCGAAGGCGGCUUCCUGGACACCAACUGACGCUGAGACGCGAAAGCGUGGGGAGCAAACAGG